UUAAACACACUAAUAUGAAUUGACAACGCCAAAGUCUGUUGUGAACAUCAUCCAAAAUGGAACUGGUAUUCGAUCACUACUGUGAGAAUCCUCAUAGGCAUUUUAUUGCCAUAUGAAAACAAGAGGAUAAAACAGAACUUAAAAAAUAGUAAUAGUGACAGAAAGAAAAGGUAACACCAACCUUGCUCAAUUUUUCAUUGUACACAAUUCUUAUAACAACUUUAAGGGAAAUGGUAACACAUAGAUUCUACAAUGACCAAAGGAGAUAAUUGUACAUAUAUAUAUAUAUAUAUAUAUAUAUGUAUGUCUUCUAAAUUGUAAUCAACCUUUCUGCAUUACUUACAUCUACUAAGGAAGCCGCAUAAACCAAACCCUCAAGAGGUAGGCAAUCCACAUCAAUGCAGGAUAAUUUUCAGAUGCAAGAAAACAGAGUAAAUAAGGAGUAACUAACCAGUAGUGUGAUACAAAGAGCAAUGGAGGACUAAUCAUCUAACCGAAGCAAAGUCUCUUGAUAUUGAAUCAUCUUAAGAUCAAAGCCCUCAACCAUAUACAUGCCACACUUGUCCUCUUCUUUGUGAAGAAUCUUUAUCCACCCUUUCACGUCGGCAUAAUUACAAUCGUCAACCUUCGUUAUAGUGUAUAUGUGGGCAACAAUACUAGUUUCCAAAACCAAUACACUUCCGUAACCCCAAAGCCCCUCUGGCGGAUUUGAAAACAAGUUAAAGAGCUUAGUCCAUGAGUCAAGCACACCAUAUUCCUUCAUGACCCAUACACACAAACAGUCACGAUCAGCUUUCGUAGAAUAAGCAAAAGACAGGCAACCAUCAGCAGAAACCCCUAAAUUUCCCCACUGAUUUAAACCGCGUUCAUCGAAUUUAGGCAGUGCCAUUUUUCUGAACUUCUCCUGUGCCAAAUCAAAAACCAUGAGGCCGUUGUCGUGAUCAAUCCAAUGAAGUGCCUCAUUCAAAAGGGUCCCCCGAGGAGAAUAAAGACAUGAUUCCGGAAUCGCCUCAAGUCGUUUCCAUGUUUGAGCUCUCGACGAGAAAAUGCCGUACCGAGUCUGAUCGGAGGCUAUAAAAACUUUGUAUUCGUUGGUGGCCGACAAAUAGCCAACACCAGAACGGAAACAAUAUUGUUGAUCACAUAAAUCACCUGGGUCAGGUAAUUCGUUAUAGAAUCCAGUGGAUGGGUUCCAGGCAUAGAAUACUUUCUUAUCAAAUGCGAGAAAAACAAUACCGUUAGAGGAGCCCAGUAGCAGGUCAUUACCGGCCGGUGGCCGGAAAGGAUACUUUAGCCUUCUAACGGAGGAACUGUAUCCAAACGACGUCGUCUCCAAAAGCAGGGAUUCGAGGCGAGUGGAAAUUGUGGAGUCGCGGACUCGGCGAUUGAGUGGAUGGAUGGUUGUGUUGUAGAGGAGUCUGCGAUCGAGGGUUUUGCGGUCACGAGCUGUUUCAAAUUGGGAUUUGGCAAAUUUGGGGUCGGAGAGAAUGAUGGAAUGGAAGCGUUUGGAAACGCAGGUGAAUCGGAUUAAGGAUUUCACGGGAAGCAAGCGGAGGAUAAGCACCAUGACAUCUUCGGGUAGGGUCGCGUCCGCCAUUACAGUGUCACUGUUUGGAAACGAUGAACUAGGUUUUGAGCAGUGAGGGAGACUCAAGAGUGUGAUAGGUCGACUGACCGAGUUACCUGUAUGUAGGAAAUGUUGCGGGCGUUAUCCACAGGGCCCGAGCCCAAUUUUUGGGCCUUAAUUAGAUCCAGAUAGAAGAUGGCCCGGUACGUAGAAGAGGGUGAGUUGUCUAGAUAGUAUAAGUAAAAGAGAAAAUGUGAAGUAUACUUUUUACUUUUUUAGGAGUUGCCGGAUUGCAUAGUACACACUGGCCAAUCUUUCUUAAAUCUUUGUGGUAAAAUUAAACUACCAAAUUUAAUUCGAAGAGUAAACAUUACUUUCAAAAAGAAGGGGAAUCAAAGCCAUUUCAUCUUCCAUGUUAAGAAGCGAGAGCCAUGCAAUCGAACCAUUUGAUGGAGUACAUGCAAUUGGCUUUGCAUCCAGGUGAUCAAAAAGAUUGAUGCUUAUGAAGUAUCCAAAACUGAUCCAAACCAGAUUGUUGAAUACUACAAGAAUUUUGUUUUGGCCAACCAAGCCAUCAUGUCAUGGUCAGCAUCAACAUUUGAAGACCCGGGCAGAAUCAAACCAGAUGAUCCAAAUAGCGAAGGAAAUCCAACAAGAGAGAGAACACCUCUAGUACUAACAACAGCCUUCAAUUAGACAAAAUACAGCUAGCUUCCAAUAAGCCGUUCCACACCACUACUAGAUCAAAGAAUCCUCCCAUAGAGCCCUACAAAUUCAAAGAAAGAAUACAGUUAAAUCUCUAUCAAACAAAUAGGGAUGCGAAAUCCACACACCAUUUUUCCUUUUUUGGUUUACACAUUCAUAAAAAGACAAAGUUUAAGUCACUAAAAGACAAAAUUUAAGUCACCAAAAAACGAAAAUUGUGUGUGAAUUUCAAUUUGCGGUGUGUGGAUUUCACACAUUAAUCCCAUCAGAUUUUGCCCCUCUACAUCAAUUGAAGUGUAAUGCAGAAUAAUUGGCAAAUUUCCUAAGAAUACAAGUAUGCAUGAAAGCAGAGUUAAAAAGAGAACUAACCAGCUCUGUUAUCCAGAGAGCAAUCGAGGACUAAUCCUCUAUCCGAAGUAGACUCUUGAUAUUGAAUCAUGUGAAGCCAAUGGCCCUCAGCUUCAUACAUGCUACACUUGUCUUCUUCAUUUUGAAGAAUCUUUACCAAGCCACUCACAAUCAUCAACUCACUACGAAUCACAUUCCUCCUUUGAAAAAAUAUCUGGGCGACCAUACUAGUUUCCAGGUACUGCGUACAUUCCAGAACACACCAGUUUCCAGAACCAAAACAUGGUUGUACUUCCAUCCAAUGUCGUCAUUAUGGGGGUCUGAAAACUUCAAGUUAAAGCGCUUAGUCCACGAUUCAAGCACACCAUAUUCUCCCAUCACCCAUAUAUCAAUGCAAUCACCGCAAACAUAUAGAUUACGAGCUAGAGACAGGUAUCCUCCAGCAGAAACUCCAAGAUGAUUCUCAUAGUAGUCACCUCCGCCAUCAUUGAAAUCCAGCGGUAGCAACAUUUUUCUAAACUUGUGCUUCUCCUGACCCAAAUCGAAAGCCACGAUUUCUUUUGAAGUAUCAAGCCAAUGAAGUGCCUCAUUCAAAAGAAUCCCCUGAUUAGAGCAAAAACAGGACUCGUCGAAAUCGACCUCGAGUGUUUUCCAAGUUUAGCUCUGGACGAGAACAUGGCGACCUCCUUGUCAUUCUCAUAGUCAGCGGAGACAACGAAAACUCUGUAGUCAUCGGUGGCCGACAAAUAGCCGACGCCAUAAAGGAUGAGCUCAUUACCAUUUCGGGAAAAACCCGGGUCAGGUAAUUUCUUGAAGAAACCAGUUGAAGGGUUCCACGUAUAGAUUAUAUUGUCAUCAAAAAAGCAAGAAAUACAAUACCGUUGCAGGAGCCCAGCGGCAAGGCAUAACUAUCUGCUGGAUCCAAAGGCAAUUUGUGCUUUCUAAGAGAGGAACAAUCAUCAAACGACGGCGAGUCCAAGUCUAGGGAUUCGAGUUCAGGGACGGUGGGGGAGUAGAGGAGUCUCUGAGUUAAGGUUUUGCGGUCAUGGGCUGCUCGUAAUUGGGAUUUUGCGAAUUUGGGGUCGGAGAGAAUGAUGGAACGGAAGCGUUUCGAAACGCAGGUGAAUCGGAUUAAGGAUUUCACGGGCAACCAAGUGAGGAUGAGCACUAUCAACUCUACGGGUAGGGUCGUUUCCGCCAUUGCAAUAUCACUGUUUGGAAACGAAGGGACGAACUAUGGUUUGAGUAGAGCAGUGAGCGAGUGGUUAGGGUCGCUAUUUAAGAAGGGGGAAGUGUUGAUGGAUGGAAGAAGGUUGAAGGGUCAAAUUUGCAUAAAUGAAGAUUUGAAGGGGAGGGACAAUGUCAGCAUUAUUGAGAAGCGAGUGAGGUAACAAGUCGCUGCAUGAGCUAACAAUUUCCCAAACGACGUGAGUGAGUGCAGUGUGCAGUGUGCAGUGUGCUCAACUAUCUAGCCAAGUUCCCAAACGACGUCGUCUAGACUAGGAAUCGGAGACUUGGGGCGGCGUGUGUGACAAGAGUAGGAGAAUGUGAGUCGGAGAUGAAGAUCACAACCAGCUAGAUUUGGUAACAAAACAUACCGAAGGGCAUUGAAACGAUCAAGGAGUUCAUCGGUGGCCAAGAGAGGAUAGUCCUCCAUUUCAAUGUGGAAUUGUUGUGGAUACUGGAUAGACAUACAGCCAAGGAUUCAAGGUUACAUUUUACUCAUUAACAAUUUGAGGAAUAAUUCUCAAAUGCAUGAGCUAACAAUUUCAUGAACGAUAUUCCUUCAUGUUUAUACUCUCUUCAUAUCGAUUCAUGUCAACACUGUCAAACACCACACAUGAACACAGUCAGCAAGAGUUCCAUUACGAAAUUCAAUUACACGACUUGAUAUAUAUAAUCAUAGUAUCAAUAACACGUACAUAUAUUUCUAACAGCAUUAGACAGAAACUCCGACAAUGACAGAAGGUAAGUAUUACAUAAACACAAAUGCAGUCAUUAAACACAAAUAUAGCUACCUAGCUUCCAAAAACGAGGGUCUCCAUCAUCACUAGAUCAAAGAACCCUUCCCAUAAAGCUGGCUCUAGCAAUUGUACAUCAAAAGCCCCUACAAAAUCAAAGAAAGAACAUAGUUAUUCAUCUGUCAAACAAUUAGAUGAAAGCUAAUGUGUCUAUGAUCAACCAGGAUGAAAGGUAUUUCCCUUCUGCUGUUUGGGAAAAAAAAAAAAAAGGACCAUAUUCGUUGAUAUACAAAAUAUUACUCUUUCGGUCUUUCCACAGGAAGAACUUAAGACAAUCCAGCAUCCAAAAGUCUAAGAUUUCCACAUGUUUAGACACAUGAAAAAGAAUAUGGUGAGGAAUGUUGGUGCACAAAAGCAGGUAUCCCCUAUAACGACCAGAACGAGAAUUAUAUGAUGAAGGGACACUCAAAGGAAAUAUUUUUCAAAGACUAGCUGAGUAGAGAGCACGAAUGCCCAACAAAAGACAUAACAUGUUGGUUCAUCUAAAAAAAUAAAAUAAAAAUUUAAGAUGGUCCAACCGACUUUGCAUUAAAAGAAAAUCUCACAACAUAUGAAAAGUGUCACGGCAGAGCAAGUUAAGAUAAAAUUAUCAAGCCAAGUAACAAAGUUCUAAGAGUAUUCAAAGACCUAAGCACUGUGGCUAAGCAUAGAAAAUUUGGUACUCAUUUGAACUUUCAUUAUUAGAACAGCAAGUAUACAAACACGUAGUAUACAAGUUCUAUCAAUUUACUCUAGACUUCUAGAGGGCAGCUCUCUGUUUGGUUUAAAGCAUUUGAAAGCAUUUUAUAUCACUAAAGUUUCUUCAAUCAGCCUUGGAAGAAAGUAGAGUUUACAUGGUUUUGUGGCUGCUUGAAGACUUGAAGUGAUAAACCAGUCUUACAAGAGCUAUAUAUAUUCGAAAUCGUAAUCAACCAUUCUGCAUUACCUACAUCUUCUAAGGAAGCCGCAUAAACAAAACCUUCAAGAGGUAGGCACUAGGCAGUCCGCACCAAUGCAGGAUAACAAUUUUCAGAUGCAAGAAAGCAGAGUAAAUGAGGAGUAACUAACCAGUAGUGUGAUACAAAGAGCAACGGAGGACUAAUCAUCUAACCGAAGUAAACUCUCUUGAUACUGAAUCAUGUUAAUAUUAGAGCCCUCAAUCCAAUACAUGCCACGCUUGUCCUCUUCUUUGUGAAGAAUCUUUAUCCACCCAGUCCCGUCGGCAUAACUAGUUCCGUAAUCCUCAUCCUCAAUUACAUUGUAUAUGUGGGCAGCAAUACUAGUUCCCAAAACCACCACAGAACCAAAACCCCAUUGGUCCUUUGGCGGACACAGAAACUUAAAGCUAAAGAGCUUAGUCCAUGAGUCAAGCACACCAUAUUCUUUCAUUACCCAAACACAAAUACAGUCACUAGCAUGCCCAGUUGAAAACGCAAAAGACAGGCAACCUUCAGCAGUAACCCCUAGAUCAGCGCACUGAUUUAUAUUAUAUUCAUCAUAAUAAUCAGGCAGUGUCAUUUUCCUGAACUUCUCCUGAGCCAAAUCAAAAGCCAUGACGCCGUUACCGUGAGAAAUCCAAUGAAGCGCCUCAUUCAAAAGGGUCCCCCGAAUAGAAAAAGGACAUGAUUCCGGAAAGACCUCAAGUCGUUUCCAAGUUUGAGCUCUGGACGAGAAAACGCUGUACUGAGCGGAGCGUAUGAAAAGUUUGUAUUCGUCGGUGGCCGACAAAUAACCAACACCAUAACGGAACGAAUGAUUCUCGUCAUAUAAAAGACCCGGGUCAGGUAAUUCCUUGAAGAAUCCAGUUGAUGGGUUCCAGACACAGAACACUUUCUUACUAAAUGCGAGAAAUACAAUACCGUUACAGGAGCCCAGUAGCGAGAUACUGGUGGUAGGUGACGGGGAAGGAAAUUUGAGCUCCCUGACAGAGGAAUGAUGUCCAAACGACGGCGUCUCCAGAUCCAGGGAUUUGAAUAGAGGAAGGCCUGGAGUAAAGGAGCAGAGGAGUCUGGCGCAAAGGAGUCUGUGAUGCAGGAUUUUGCGGUCAUGCGCGGCAUGAAAUUGGGACUUUGCGAAAUUUGGGUCGGAGAGAAUGAUGGAACGGAAGCGUUUGGAAACGCAGGUGAAUCGGAUUAAGGAUUUAACGGGAAGCCAGGAGAGGAUGAUCACUG
rnacentral:lncRNA from 1 species